rnacentral:lncRNA from 1 species
GGCGUAGGAGCGAAUGAGCCUUCCGAUGAUUCCAGCCCCUAGCCUUUGAGUCCUUCGGCUGAUGUCCCAGACGUGGUGGAACAGGAAGCAGGCAUCUCCGUGCUGCCCUCUCCAGAGUUCUGACCCACGGGAUCCGCGAGCGUAACAAACGGUGGGUUUAUGCCGUUAAGUUUUGGAGCAACUUGUUACAACAGCAAUAGGUAACUAUUACUACCGCUGUUAUUUUUCUCAGCCAGCGUGAACAAGUAGGGGCAGAGCAGCAGAAGAAGCGGUCAAACUCACAGAGGAAGCAGGUGGCAGAGAUGGGCCAGGACUUGCAUAGGCCGAGUCCUCAAAGAAGAGCCUCUAACGGGAAGGUGAGUCACACAACACGAGGCCCCUAGUUGGAUGGCUUGGACCUUAGCCCUUGUAGGAGGAAAAGUGGCUCCAAGGCUGGACCCACGAACCCCCUGUCUUUGUUUCUUCCCCCUUUACACUGAGAAAGAAGUAGAAUGUGGGAGGAAAUUUUUUUUAAGUGUUUUUAUUAUUAUUAUUUAUUUUUGAGAGAGAGAGAGAAAGAGAGAGAGAGAAUGAGCAGAGGAAGGGCAGAGGAAGAGGGAGACACAGAAUCCGAAGCAGGCUCCAGGCUCUGAGCCGUCAGCCCAGAGCCGGACUCGGGGCUUGAACUCAUGAACUGCGAGAUCAUGACCUGAGCCAAAGCUUCACCGACUGACCUACCCAGCCCCCCCGUCCCCCUGCCCCAAAGUGGGAGGAAAUUCUUAAAGAACUUCCACAGUUGACGGAUGGUCUGACCAGCAUUUAUUUUCAUUCCCUACUAGGCUUGUCUGUUAGACGGAUGAGGAAACUGAGGCUCCGAGAGAUUAAGACAUUUGCCCGAGGUCACACAGCUAGUGCACGACAGGGCUGAAAUUCCAAUGAUCCGCACCGCCACUGCCCCUCCCCAUUUCUAAGAGGAAAAUAACCAUCGAUGUGAUCGACUGAUUACAGCCACCAGCCCGGCUAUUAAGGGCUUGCUAUGUGCCAAGCACUGUGCUGGGCACGGACAUGAAUGAUCGAGCCAUGCCUAGCUCUUUGGCCCGACGUCCUACCCGCUUUCCCCUCAAUCACUGCCUGCCACCCUCUUCACGACCUCCUUUCUGCUCCUUGAACAUGCCAGGUUCUUCGCACGGACUGCUCCCUCUGCCUGGAUGUCCCUCCCCCCACAUCCCCCCACCAUCCCGCCUCAGUGGCUGCUUCCUUCUCACGUGGGUCUUUGCUCCAACGUCACCUCCUCC